GACGAACGCUGGCGGCGUGCUUAACACAUGCAAGUCGAACGGAAAGGCCCUGCUUUUGUGGGGUGCUCGAGUGGCGAACGGGUGAGUAACACGUGAGUAACCUGCCCUUGACUUUGGGAUAACUUCAGGAAACUGGGGCUAAUACCGGAUAGGAGCUCCUGCUGCAUGGUGGGGGUUGGAAAGUUUCGGCGGUUGGGGAUGGACUCGCGGCUUAUCAGCUUGUUGGUGGGGUAGUGGCUUACCAAGGCUUUGACGGGUAGCCGACCUGAGAGGGUGACCGGCCACAUUGGGACUGAGAUACGGCCCAGACGCCUACGGGAGGCAGCAGUGGGGAAUAUUGCACAAUGGGCGGAAGCCUGAUGCAGCAACGCCGCGUGCGGGAUGACGGCCUUCGGGUUGUAAACCGCUUUCGCCUGUGACGAAGCGUGAGUGACGGUAAUGGGUAAAGAAGCACCGGCUAACUACGUG
rnacentral:rRNA from 1 species